rnacentral:lncRNA from 1 species
AGGUACACGCAAGUCAGCAAGUCGUCCAGUCCAUCUUUAUUGCUGGUAUGUCUAUGGUCCAAUGUCAAAUGUGAAGUGCAUGACUGAUGAGCACAUGUAAUUGAUUGUGCAUUGUACGAAAGAGUACUAUUUGCUUCAUGAUGUUGGUGGAAAUUCUGGUGUCCCAAUAAUGGUGCAAUUAGAAGAAAAGUGCAGUGCGGUUGUCACAGACAGUCAGUAGAAUAUGGCUGAGAUGGGCGAUCAACACAGCGAUCACAGGUUUUAGAUGUCUCGACUGGUAAAAGAGAUCUGGUGGUUUUCAACCCUUCAGUUCGUAUCCUUUCUGAAAUCCCCCGUCGUUAUGUUUUUGUAUCACUUAUAUAUUCUUGUAUGUUUAGCAACAAUUGGGGGCUAGAUCAUGUUAAUUAAAGGUCCUCAGUAUUUCAUACCCGUUCGUACAGGACGUUGGCACUGUCCGUUUUAUUUGUUAAACUUGUUAAAUAAACGAAUGAAAUUAUUCUAUUUAUUUGAAUAUGGUAGCGGGUAGAAACUACGUGUUAUCAAAAGGAACAGUUCUACUUCAGGGACGCGACCCUGCCUACGCAAGCCUUGCUGUCUCCUUUUACAUUAUUUGAGGAAAGCAAGUCCCAAACCUUAAAUCCCAGCCAACAUCCUCAUUCCUAACACAUCACUACCCCGUUAUCAACUAACCAGUCAAGUGGAGCCCAUCUAUGCCGAGCGAGAAUAAAUACCAAUUUAGACAGAAGACAAAUAUUAAUUCUGUAUUGCCGUUAAACGUUGCUGUUGGUCACAUGCCGAUAAGGGUUUGAAAGUAUAGUGCUGGAGUUAAAAACGCUUGACAGGGUUGUACAAAUAGCCUUCCGAAUUGUGGACAUUGAUCUAGCUCGAUCGAUAACGAAGGGUAAAAACUUCGGCACAACAAAAAGUUUGCCGAUGAAUGUAAGACAAUAAGUGAAUUAGACGCAUCAGUUUAUCUCUGGAAAGGCCAAAUUGUGAACAUAUUUAUAAAAGAUACGUUGAGGACUUGGAAAUCGACCGACCCAUCACCAAUUUUAUCACAAUCUUGUAAUCCCAUUAAUCUUUGAAUUUUUUCUGUUUUGAGAAGACACACACCGAUCUUAACUUAAUAAUGUGAGGAAUCUGAGGCUGAAAAAAUUGCCGGGAAAAAGAUUCACACCUUCCAUCAAUGGCUUUAGACUAGACAUUUGUAGUCAACAAUUGCUUCGUCAAAGAGACACGAUUUGCAGUUGGGCCAUACUUAAGCAGUUUGUCGAAUAGUUUGGUAAAUGCUAUUCUAAUGUUCACUGGCAGCACCUACCAGUCUAUAAGGCACAGCAUCUAUAUAGAGAAAAAGUGCAAAAGUGGUUCAUGCCUUUUGAUUGUGACUAAUUUGGCAGCCAAAUAGCAUUUGACCCACUCAAAAAUAUGAAGUGUUUGUUUUUUUUGGGGUUUUCAGAUAGUUCUACUUGUUUUUUGGUGUGCGUAUAUUUAUAUGUUAGUUGUGUACUGUAUCACACAGCUGUUCUCGCCAAUUCAAGUUUUAUGCACCUGGUUACAACAUCUCGUGUCCGUUUUAACACUGUUUUCGCCAAAAAAAUAUAUAACAGUGGGGCCCGAAGAAAUUAGGAGUGAAAGUCACAAGUCUUUGGUGUGUGGACUUGUUCUUUUCUAGUUUUUGGGAGAUACCUGGGCUUUGGUUGAAAUUGUCGAUGUUGCGUGUAGUGGACUGUAUUUUUGGGUUGAAAUGAAACUGCACUCUUCACUUUCCUAACUUGACGAUUUACUUAGUUAAAGUAAAGAGGUACAAAAAAUGGCGACUAGGGCGUAAACAACGCUCCUUUCUUCUUCGUGGUUAUCAUCGAAAUCGCACCCUCUUGACUUGGGUGCGGUCGCGUCCCUGUUGCCGGUGUUGUCACUUUUAUCCGAACAGUCGAUCAUGUAGCAAUGUACGGAUGGUUGUGUGCAGAUCUUUGACCUCAGGUGGCCAACUCUGAUCUUCGAAUCGAGAGAGUACACUACCAGGUAUCAGUUAACACUUGAGUUAAAAGAAAAAUCGAAUUCUUUCACGGGACGUUUGCAUGCGGCACCGUCUUGCUGAAACCAUAUUGGCUAAAUCAAUAUAAUCCAGUUUCGGCAGAAAUGUCUCUAACAGCCACUGCCUCAUUUUAUAUGGUCUCGUGAUGCCUCCAGCCGAAAACCGCACCAGGCAGAGAUAUGUGGAUGUAUUUGUUCUUCGGAAACGGCAUUUUCACGAUGAAGAGAGUCAUAAACUAGAAAAUGUGCUUUAACGAUUAGAGUGAUUUUGCUAGACAAAUUAUUAUCCAGUUAUUGGUGUUCAAUAAUCCGCUAAACGUGCUCCCUUCGCUGAACUUUUCAUUAGAAUUCAGGUUAAUUCAAAUUCGGAGGCAGAAAUGUUUUGUGAGUAACUGCUGCAGAUAGCUUCUUUUCGCAAACCCUGCGAACAAAAGGAACCUUGCUAAUAAAUUUAAAAAAAUUAUAACUGCCAUCUUGUAAAAUAAUUUCUCAAAAAUCUUUUCCUUAGAGUCAGCUCUUCUACUGCGCAAGUAUGUGUAAACUAUGUGGAGCAAAGUAAUAAGAGGUAUAAAGGAUAUGUUCUAUUAACAACAAUAGACGUUAAUCUU